rnacentral:tRNA from 1 species
UAAAGAAUGGGUGAAUUGGUUAAAUCGCUAGAUUGUAAAUUUAGUUCUUUUAGAAUUGUGAGUUCAAAUCUCACUUCUUUAA